ACACACGGUGUAGGAAGAAGCACUAAGCAUGACCUGUAAGUGCACAAGCCCCCAUACACAACCCCGCCCGCCCCCCUCCCUUCCCGCCUGUUCAGACAGCACCCUUUUCCCACCAAAGUUUCUUUGAAGUUCUUGCCAGCCCCUCCUGUGGAGCCAGCCCGAGGACCCUUCGUUCACACACCUUCUUUUUGGAGCACAGGCCCCAGUACAGCCUUGCCUGGGACUCCUGGGGGGGCCUCUCGUCCGGUUCUCCUGCGCAGCGAGCCCAAGGCUGGCUCAGUAAAUGCUGCGGCUCCCCAGGCACCAGGACGAACCCUCCACCCACGCCGGGCUCUGAGAGCCCCUGGGGAGUCGUACGGAGGGGACUGACGUGUCAAAACCAAAGGGAAGACGGCCUGAAUGUGCGCUCAAGGACUGAGACUCCUGAGUGAACGGAAGGGGCAAAGAGAACAGAGAAGAACGACACAGGCGGAGACAGAAAUGAGAACAUCGUCAGCUGCAAGCACUAUGGCUUAAUCACACCGAGGGGCCGAUCCACUGGCCGACAAGGUCAUGCGAUACAGAACGCUAACGUUCCUUUUUCAGUUACCUAAGUCACUUAGUGAGCCUGCGAGAUCUGCCUUCGGUAGUUCAACCACCACCUGCAAACAGAGCGUGGAAAUGAGUGUCCGGGCGCCAGGGUGCAACCUAAGCACAGAGCCGCUCCAAUCAAGACAGCGUGUGGCAUUCGGUGCUGAAUACGGACCUGCUCCAGACAAGACUGCUCGCUGCCUUGAGAACUGGUAUUUAAAUGUCGGGAAUCCCUUUCUUUGACCUGUUUUCACUUCUCCUCACUCACACUGGCCAGCGGCGCGGCCCCCAAGACCGCGUCCCCUGCCGCUCCUCGUACUCCCCCACGAACCCCUGUCGGAGGCGCCCAGCCAAUCCAGCCGGACCCUCAGUUUUCCCGUCCUAGACAGGCAUGUCGCCGUCCGACACUAGGCACGUAGCACCCCCCGGACUCCCACGUAAACUAGCGGCUCAGAGAGCCCGUGCACGCAGUUGGUGCUGCCCUGCAUGCGUCCUGGGCACGUCCUACUCACCCAAACGUUGAGAACCCCACUCUCCUCCAGGGAAGCAACGUGGAACGACAAACCUGACAUUUCUAGUGGAAACAGAAACAGAGAAAUGGCUUGUGAACAAGGAAACCACAUUUCGUAACUUGAUGCAAGGGUUUUGUGGAGGUGAAAGAUCACACACCUUCUUGGGUAGAAAAGGGGGAAAGCACAAAACUCUGUUUUUUGUAGACAGACGUGGAGAUGGGUUCUACGGCUUGAACGGGACCGCGGUGGUUUACUGAAGUCAGGAGGCCGUCUAGGGUUUAAAGCACACAGGACCACAUGUGAAUAAAUAUCCAUCUACCGAAUGUGCAAGAGUAAGAAAAAAAUCAAGACAAACUCCACUGAGAACUGCUGUAAGAAGAAAAUACAAGUGCAAAUCAAAGCAUUUGAGCAGAUGAAAAUUCUCUCACCCCCAAACGAGCACUGAACAGAAGCCCAGAGUUCAACAGUCCAUGUUGCAGCACCUCGCUUCAAAACGCUUUUGGAAAUGUACUUAAAGUAAGCAAGCAAAUGAACAAAAACACCUGAAAUCAGAAACUCAGUGUAGAAAUGGAUAGAAAAUAACAAGAAAUUGGGGCACCUGGGUGGCUCAGUCGGUUAAGCGUCAGACUUCGGCUCAAGUCAUGAACUAGCGGUUCACGAGUUCAAGUCCCACGUCGGGCUCUAUGCUGACAGCUCAGAGCCUGGAGCCCUCUUCAACUUCUGUGUCUCCCUCUCUCUCUGCCCCUCCCCUGCUCAUGCUCUGUCUCUGUCUCUGUCUCUCUCUCUAAAAAAUAAAUAUUAAAAAAAG